rnacentral:rRNA from 1 species
GAUGAACGCUGGCGGCGUGCCUAAUACAUGCAAGUCGAGCGAAUGGAUUAAGAGCUUGCUCUUAUGAAGUUAGCGGCGGACGGGUGAGUAACACGUGGGUAACCUGCCCAUAAGACUGGGAUAACUCCGGGAAACCGGGGCUAAUACCGGAUAACAUUUUGAACCGCAUGGUUCGAAAUUGAAAGGCGGCUUCGGCUGUCACUUAUGGAUGGACCCGCGUCGCAUUCGCUAGUUGGUGAGGUAACGGCUCGCCAAGGCAACGAUGCGUAGCCGACCUGAGAGGGUGAUCGGCCACACUGGGACUGAGACACGGCCCAGACUCCGACGGGAGGCAGCAGUAGGGAAUCCUCCGCAAUGGACGAAAGUAUGACGGAGCAACGCCGCGUGAGUGAUGAAGGCUUUCGGGUCGUAAAACUCUGUUGUUAGGGAAGAACAAGUGCUAGUUGAAUAAGCUGGCACCUUGACGGUACCUAACCAGAAAGCCACGGCUAACUACGUGCCCGCCGCCGCCGUAA